GGAUAUGACCGCUGACCGCAUGGUCUGGUGGUGGAAAGAUUCAUCGGCUGGGGAUGGGCCCGCGGCCUAUCAGCUUGUUGGUGGGGUAGUGGCCUACCAAGGCGACGACGGGUAGCCGGCCUGAGAGGGUGACCGGCCACACUGGGACUGAGACACGGCCCAGACUCCUACGGGAGGCAGCAGUGGGGAAUAUUGCGCAAUGGGCGAAAGCCUGACGCAGCGACGCCGCGUGGGGGAUGACGGCCUUCUGGUUGUAAACCUCUUUCACCCACAACGAAGCGCAAGUGACGGUAGUGGGAGAAGAAGCACCGGCCAACUACGUGCCAGCAGCCGCGGUAAUACGUAGGGUGCAAGCGUUGUCCGGAAUUAUUGGGCGUAAAGAGCUCGUAGGCGGUUCGUCGCGUCGGCUGUGAAAACCUGAGGCUCAACCUCAGGCCUGCAGUCGAUACGGGCGGACUUGAGUACUGCAGGGGAGACUGGAAUUCCUGGUGUAGCGGUGAAAUGCGCAGAUAUCAGGAGGAACACCGGUGGCGAAGGCGGGUCUCUGGGCAGUAACUGACGCUGAGGAGCGAAAGCGUGGGGAGCGAACAGGAUUAGAUACCCUGGUAGUCCACGCCGUAAACGUUGGGCGCUAGGUGUGGGGGCCAUUCCACGGUCUCCGUGCCGCAGCUAACGCAUUAAGCGCCCCGCCUGGGGAGUACGGCCGCAAGGCUAAAACUCAAAGGAAUUGACGGGGGCCCGCACAAGCGGCGGAGCAUGUUGCUUAAUUCGAUGCAACGCGAAGAACCUUACCUAGGCUUGACAUGCACGGAAAUCCUCCAGAGAUGGUGGGUCCGUAAGGGCCGUGCACAGGUGGUGCAUGGUUGUCGUCAGCUCGUGUCGUAGAUGUUGGGUUAAGUCCCGCAACGAGCGCAACCCUCGUUCCAUGUUGCCAGCACGUGAUGGUGGGGACUCAUGGGAGACUGCCGGGGUCAACUCGGAGGAAGGUGGGGAUGACGUCAAAUCAUCAUGCCCCUUAUGUCUAGGGCUGCAAACAUGCUACAAUGGCCGGUACAAAGGGCUGCGAUACCGCGAGGUGGAGCGAAUCCCAAAAAGCCGGUCUCAGUUCGGAUUGGGGUCUGCAACUCGACCCCAUGAAGUUGGAGUCGCUAGUAAUCGCAGAUCAGCAACGCUGCGGUGAAUACGUUCCCGGGCCUUGUACACACCGCCCGUCACGUCACGAAAGUCGGUAACGCCCGAAGCCGGUGGCCCAACCCCUUGUGGGAGGGAGCCGUCGAAGGCGGGAUCGGCGAUUGGGACGAAGUCGGAACAAGGUA
rnacentral:rRNA from 1 species